UGAAAGUAUGUUAACUACAUGAAUGAAAGUAAAUCCUGCAAGAAAGGAUGCAUCUUUAAUAUCGAUGAAUAGGCUGCUUCUGAAUACCAGAGAGUUGGAUAUUUUGUAUUUCUAGUGAAAUAUAUUGUGCCGAUCGCUUAAUCAAAUAAAACACAGAAACAACACUUUGAUAGUCACAUUGAUAUUGAAUUCUUCCGUAAACUAAAAUCUCUACCGACCUGUAACAGGUGGAAACCUAAAUCUAAUCCUCAAUCUUUUUAUGCUGGAGGAACGCUGAUCUAUUGCUGCACAGAUUCUCCUGAGGCCACGCUAGUAAAAGUCACAAUAAAACCAAACGCUGAUAAUUGUGUAUCUAGCUAGAGUUUCAAACAUUAAAGUGUCAUAGCAGAGGGGGUUUUAUAGACCGCCAACCAUCUGUUAGUAGUGAGAGUGAAGAAUAUCAUUGUGAAAUAUUGUCGUGAAGCGAGGACUCGGGGUCGGCUGACCCGGUCCAGACUUGACCGGAGAGGGUGACGGGAAAAAAUAGAGGAACCACCAACCUGGUGAGUCAAUUCUGGGGGCCGCGGUGGGCGGGGCUGCUGCUUCUGUUUCCAAAUGGGACAAAAACUACCCGAAGAGCACUCAACCACACUCACACACACACAAACACACACACACACACACACAGACAAACACACUUCACACUGUCGAGUGGAUCUGUUCUCUGAGGCAAUAUCUGGACUCUAAACUGGUUUUCAUUUUGAAAUUCAACAGUUUAGAGAGCAGAGGCCUUUUCUUCGAGCCUUGUAUAACAUAUAUACGACCCAUUGUGGUUGCCAUACGCCCCCCCCCCCCGGAAUCAUUAGAAGGGUCACAGAGGGUCAGACACUUUCCCUGAAGAACAAACAAGUAAAGCGUCUCCUUCUGGAGAAAAAGGCGUAGGGAGGAAACUUGGCCUGCUGCCUUCUGGCUGUUUCUUUUCUUCAUCUACAGCGAUGGAUAGAUUCUCCAGCUAUGGUGCCUCCUGGUGUAAAAGAGAUCACACUACUUCUGGGUGGAGGGUUGCUCCACCUAACCCAAACACCGGCCCUCUUUCACGGUUCCUUUCUCUUUAGAACGUCUUCCAUUCCGUGAAUUAACGGCAUAAAAGAGUAAAAGAGUUUAUAGAGUUAAAAGACUCUUGUUUCCUUUCAGGGAGAAAAGCUUUAUUGUACUAUUUUAAGGCUGUUUCUCUAUCUGACUUUAAGCCACAAAGUGCUACUGCUUUGGACCAAAACUAAAAAGCUCCUCUCGGUAAAUUAAAUAAAUACACAACGUCAUCAAUCAAGAACGGU
ensembl:lncRNA